rnacentral:rRNA from 1 species
UACGGGGGGAGCAAGCGUUGUUCGGAUUUACUGGGCGUAAAGGGCGCGUAGGCGGUCAGCACAAGUCAGUUGUGAAAUCUCCGGGCUUAACUCGGAAAGGUCAACUGAUACUGUGCGACUAGAGUGCAGAAGGGGCAACUGGAAUUCUCGGUGUAGCGGUGAAAUGCGUAGAUAUCUGGAGGAACACCGGUGGCGAAGGCGGCGUUCUGGACUGCAUCUGACACUGAAAGACGAAAGCCAGGGGAGCAAACGGG